CCUACGGGGGGCAGCAGUAGGGAAUUUUCCACAAUGGGCGAAAGCCUGAUGGAGCAACGCCGCGUGGGUGAAGAAGGUCUUCGGAUCGUAAAACCCUGUUGUUAGAGAAGAAAGUGCGUGAGAGUAACUGUUCACGUUUCGACGGUAUCUAACCAGAAAGCCACGGCUAACUACGUGCCAGCAGCCGCGGUAAUACGUAGGUGGCAAGCGUUAUCCGGAUUUAUUGGGCGUAAAGAGAACGCAGGCGGUCUUUUAAGUCUGAUGUGAAAGCCUUCGGCUUAACCGGAGUAGUGCAUUGGAAACUGGGAGACUUGAGUGCAGAAGAGGAGAGUGGAACUCCAUGUGUAGCGGUGAAAUGCGUAGAUAUAUGGAAGAACACCAGUGGCGAAAGCGGCUUUCUGGUCUGUAACUGACGCUGAGGUUCGAAAGCGUGGGUAGCAAACAGGAUUAGAUACCCCAGUAGUC
rnacentral:rRNA from 1 species